CAAGGGACCAAGCAUUCAUUAU
rnacentral:miRNA from 1 species